rnacentral:rRNA from 1 species
UACGUAGGUGGCAAGCGUUGUCCGGAUUUACUGGGCGUAAAGAGCGCGCAGGCGGUCGUUUAAGUCGAAUGUGAAAGCCCCCGGCUCAACUGGGGAGGGUCAUUCGAUACUGAUCGACUUGAAAGGCAGGAGAGAGAAGUGGAAUUCCCGGUGUAGUGGUGAAAUGCGUAGAUAUCGGGAGGAACACCAGUGGCGAAGGCGACUUCUUGGCCUGUUCUUGAGCGCUGAGGCG